rnacentral:rRNA from 1 species
CCUACGGGAGGCUGCAGUAGGGAAUAUUGGACAAUGGGGGAAACCCUGAUCCAGCAAUGCCGCGUGAGUGAAGAAGGCCUUCGGGUUGUAAAGCUCUUUCAUCAAUGAUGAUAAUGACAUUAGUUGAAGAAGAAGCCCCGGCUAACUUCGUGCCAGCAGCCGCGGUAAUACGAAGGGGGCUAGCGUUGUUCGGAAUCACUGGGCGUAAAGCGUAUGUAGGCGGAUCAAAAAGUUAGAUGUGAAAUCCCUGGGCUCAACCCAGGAACUGCAUUUAAAACUAGUGAUCUAGAAUUUGGUAGGGGCCAGUAGAAUUUCCAGUGUAGAGGUGAAAUUCGUAGAUAUUGGAAAGAAUACCAGUGGCGAAGGCGACUGGCUGGGCCAUUUUUGACGCUGAGAUACGAAAGCGUGGGUAGCAAACAGGAUUAGAUACCCCAGUAGUC